CAUUGCGAUCCUCAAGUAAGAUCAAAGUGUACAACAAUCUGAAAACAUCUAUCUGUCAUCCUUUGACCCAUUGCGAUCCUCAAGUAAGAUCAAUGUGUACAACCAUCUGUAAACAUCUUUCUGUCAUCCUUUGACCCAUUGAGAUCCUCAAAUAAAAUCAAAGUGUACAACUAUCUGAAAACAUCCUUUUGUCAUCCUUUGACCCAGUGAUCAUAGAAAAAAAAUUGCAAUUGCAG
rnacentral:lncRNA from 1 species